GUCCCUGUAGAGCAAUGGAUAGCAUGUUGAACUUCUAAUCCAAAGUUCGUGGGUUCGAAUCCCACCUGGGAUG
rnacentral:tRNA from 1 species